rnacentral:rRNA from 1 species
UGCCAGACUCCUACGGGAGGCAGCAGUGGGGAAUAUUGGGCAAUGGGCACAAGCCUGACCCAGCAACGCCGCGUGAAGGAAGAAGGCUUUCGGGUUGUAAACUUCUUUUAAGAGGGAAGAGUAGAAGACGGUACCUCUUGAAUAAGCCACGGCUAACUACGUGCCAGCAGCCGCGGUAAUACGUAGGUGGCAAGCGUUGUCCGGAUUUACUGGGUGUAAAGGGCGUGUAGCCGGGUUGACAAGUCAGAUGUGAAAUCCUGCGGCUUAACCGCAGAACUGCAUUUGAAACUGUUGAUCUUGAGUACUGGAGAGGCAGACGGAAUUCCUAGUGUAGCGGUGAAAUGCGUAGAUAUUAGGAGGAACAUCAGUGGCGAAGGCGGCCGCCUGGCACAAAACUGACGCUGAGGUGCGAAAGCGUGGGUAGCAAACAGGAUUAGAUACCCGAGUA